rnacentral:rRNA from 1 species
UUGCCAGCCCGCUCAGAAACUUAAAGGAAUUGACGGGGCCCGCACAAGCGGUGGAGCAUGUGGUUUAAUUCGAUGAUACGCGAGGAACCUUACCUGGGCUCAAAUGUAUGUUGACGUAUUCUGAAAGGGAUACUUCUUCGGACAAUAUACAAGGUGCUGCAUGGUUGUCGUCAGCUCGUGCCGUGAGGUGUCGGGUUAAGUCCCAUAACGAGCGCAACCCCUAUCAUUAGUUGCCAUCAGGUCAAGCUGGGGACUCUAAUGAAACUGCCUACGCAAGUAGUGAGGAAGGUGGGGAUGACGUCAAAUCAGCACGGCCCUUACGUCCAGGGCUACACACGUGCUACAAUGGCCGGUACAAAGGGCAGCUACCUGGUGACAGGAUGCUAAUCUCAAAAGCCGGUCUCAGUUCGGAUCGGAGUCUGCAACCCGACUCCGUGAAGCCGGAAUCGCUAGUAAUCGCGCAUCAGCCAUGGCGCGGUGAAUACGUUCCCGGGCCUU